rnacentral:rRNA from 1 species
UAACAGGGGUAGCUUGCUACCCGCUGACGAGCGGCGGACGGGUGAGUAAUGCAUAGGAAUCUGCCCGAUAGUGGGGGAUAACCUGGGGAAACCCAGGCUAAUACCGCAUACGUCCUACGGGAGAAAGGGGGCUUCGGCUCCCGCUAUUGGAUGAGCCUAUGCCGGAUUAGCUAGUUGGUGAGGUAAAGGCUCACCAAGGCAACGAUCCGUAGCUGGUCUGAGAGGAUGAUCAGCCACAUCGGGACUGAGACACGGCCCGAACUCCUACGGGAGGCAGCAGUGGGGAAUAUUGGACAAUGGGGGCAACCCUGAUCCAGCCAUGCCGCGUGUGUGAAGAAGGCCCUCGGGUUGUAAAGCACUUUCAGCGAGGAAGAACGCCUAGCGGUUAAUACCCGUUAGGAAAGACAUCACUCGCAGAAGAAGCACCGGCUAACUCCGUGCCAGCAGCCGCGGUAAUACGGAGGGUGCAAGCGUUAAUCGGAAUUACUGGGCGUAAAGCGCGCGUAGGUGGCUUGAUAAGCCGGUUGUGAAAGCCCCGGGCUCAACCUGGGAACGGCAUCCGGAACUGUCAGGCUAGAGUGCAGGAGAGGAAGGUAGAAUUCCCGGUGUAGCGGUGAAAUGCGUA